CCUACGGGAGGCUGCAGUGGGGAAUAUUGCACAAUGGGCGCAAGCCUGAUGCAGCCAUGCCGCGUGUGUGAAGAAGGCCUUCGGGUUGUAAAGCACUUUCAGCGGGGAGGAAGGCGGUGAGGUUAAUAACCUCAUCGAUUGACGUUACCCGCAGAAGAAGCACCGGCUAACUCCGUGCUAGCAGCCGCGGUAAUACGGAGGGUGCAAGCGUUAAUCGGAAUUACUGGGCGUAAAGCGCACGCAGGCGGUCUGUCAAGUCGGAUGUGAAAUCCCCGGGCUCAACCUGGGGACUGCAUUCGAAACUGGCAGGCUAGAGUCUUGUAGAGGGGGGUAGAAUUCCAGGUGUAGCGGUGAAAUGCGUAGAGAUCUGGAGGAAUACCGGUGGCGAAGGCGGCCCCCUGGACAAAGACUGACGCUCAGGUGCGAAAGCGUGGGGAGCAAACAGGAUUAGAUACCCUUGUGUC
rnacentral:rRNA from 1 species